rnacentral:tRNA from 1 species
AGCCAGUUAUUAUGUGGAUAAUUUAUGUUUUGAAAGCAUACUCAAGGAGUUCGACUCUCCUAUUGGCUU